UACGUAGGGUGCGAGCGUUAAUCGGAAUUACUGGGCGUAAAGCGUGCGCAGGCGGUUCGUUGUGUCGGUGGUGAAAUCCCCGGGCUUAACCUGGGAAUGGCCAUGGAAACUGGCGAACUGGAGUGCGGCAGAGGGGGGUGGAAUUCCGCGUGUAGCAGUGAAAUGCGUAGAGAUGUGGAGGAACACCGAUGGCGAAGGCAGCCCCCUGGGUCAAGAUUGACGCUCAUGCACGAAAGCGUGGGGAGCAAACAGG
rnacentral:rRNA from 1 species